AAUGGCGAUAUUAUAAUGACUCAGACUCCACUCGCCCUGGCUGUCACCCUGGGAGAGACGGUCUCCCUCUCCUGCAGGUCAAGUCAGAGCCUCAUAAAUAGCGAUGGAGAUAGUCUUCUGUAUUGGCUCCUUCAGAAGCCUGGCCAGUCACCACAGAGAUGGAUCUAUUGGGCUUCCAAACGACCUUCUGGGGUCCCAGACAGAUUCAGUGGCAGUGGGUCAGGCACAGAUUUCACACUGCAAAUCAGCAGGGUGGAGGCUGAGGAUAUUGGCGUUUAUUACUGCAUGCAAGACAUAGAUACUCCAU